rnacentral:tRNA from 1 species
GGUGGCUCAGUGGUAGAGCACUUGCAUGCAUGAGGCCCUGAGUUCGAUUUCUCAGCACCA